ACAAUGGUAAAUGCUGUUUUGUCUUUUCCACACAAGAAAUCCGAGCAAUAAUUUUGGACUCUCGCGCAUACGCUGGUGACGUCAUGCAAUGUUUUUAGUGCUAUGGCGUACCAGGAAGGGGAGUCGCUUGAAUCUUGGCUCAAUAAAGCCACCCAUCCAACAAACAGACAGGAGGACUGGGAGUACAUCAUAGGCUUCUGUGAUCAAAUCAACAAGGAACUGGAAGGUCCUCAAAUAGCUGUGACUCUGCUCGUCCAUAAAAUCCACUCACCACAAGAAUGGGAAGCUCUUCAGGCUCUGACAGUAUUGGAGGCAUGUAUGAAGAACUGCGGGAGAAGGUUUCAUAAUGAAGUUGGAAAAUACAGAUUUUUGAAUGAGCUGAUUAAAGUUGUGUCUCCAAAGUACAUGGGUGACAGUGCACCUGAGAAGGUGAAGAUGAAGAUCGUAGAGAUGCUGUACAGCUGGACGGUGGCUUUUCCAAAUGAAACCAAGAUCAGUGAAGCCUACCAGACGCUGAGAAGACAGGGCCUUGUGACACAUGACCCAGAAUUACCGCUGGACAAGACUCUGAUUCCCUCUCCUCCGACACGACCGAAACAUCCGGUGUUUGAUAACGAGGACAUGGGCAAGCUGCUUGCUGAGCUUCUCCGGAGUAAAAAUCCAGAGGAUCUCCAGGAAGCCAACAGAUUAAUCAAAAACAUGGUGAAAGAGGAUGAGGCAAGAGUGCAUAAGGUUACAAAGCGUAUACACACACUGGAAGAGGUGAACAUCAAUGUCAAGCUGCUGACGGAGAUGCUGUCCCACUACAAUAAAGACAGCUCCACUGACUCAGACAAGGAUAUCAUUAAGGAACUCUACGAGCGGUGUGACAAGCUGAGGCGUUCAGCUUUCAAAAUGGCUACUGAGACAGAAGACAAUGACACCAGUUUAGGUGAUAUCCUGCAGGCCAGCGAUGACCUCUCCAGAGUCAUCAACUCUUACAAGAAGAUAGUUGAGGGGCAGCCCGUCAACGGUGACAGCGAGGAGCCUCGCUCUACAGCCGGUCGGGGGGAGAGUGAGACCACAGAUACGCUGAUCGACCUCGCUGGCCUCGAUACUCCGAGCCCUCCUCAACCUGCUGCCCCUCUUUUUCAGUCCACAAAUCUUGUUUCCACCAAUCCUACGGCUUCCCCCAUCCCUUUUCUGCCUCCUCCUCCCAAACGCCCGGGCGGCUCCCAUGGCAGUCAGAGCAACAGCCCGAGUCACCCCCCCCACGACAAGGCCUCCACUGCACUCUCUCUCCUUGACGAUGAGCUGCUGUCUCUAGGACUGAACGGUCCCCCUACCUCUCUGAGCAGCCACUCAAAACCCAAGUUGAACGAGUUGUCCAACCAGUGGACUUCUUUGCAGGCUCCAGCUUCAGGUGUGGAUAUGUUUUGCAGUGUAGCUUGUUCAGGUCCUGCCGGGCAUCCAGCUGAACCAGCUGCUGCCCCACACAGUCUACAGAACUUGCAGGACCUGGCUAUGAUGGACUUUUCAGAUCCCAAGAGUUUGUCCAUUAAGAUGACAGCCAAAGGAAGCAACUUCGGGAUGCCUGCAGCAGCACCUUCCCUCAUACAUGGGCAGGGUUCUCCUUCUUCACCCUCUUUUCUCCAGGGUACGAUGUCCGGCUCCCCUGCUCUGUCCCAUGCCAAGGCCCAGAGCCUGGGCUCAGCCCCGGGCAGCCCGCUGUUCCGCUCUCUAUCCCCCUGCCACCCUCCCUUUCAGGGCAGCCCGGCCAGAGCUACAGACAUCUCUCUGAGUAAUGUGCACGUCCCUCUGGAGACCAUCAGACCGAGUAAAGUGCUGCCUGUGACGGCUUAUGAUAGGGACGGUGUUCGCAUGCUUAUCAACUUUGCAUCUGACUGCCCCUCCGGCAGGCCUGACGUUUUGGUGAUGGUGGUGUCCAUGCUAAAUACAGCACCCUUGCUUGUUCACAAUGUGGUACUGCAAGCGGCUGUGCCCAAGUCAAUGAAGGUGAAGCUGCAGCCUCCAUCAAGAGCAGAACUGGCACCAUUUAACCCUAUCCUUCCUCCAGCCUCCAUUAACCAGAUAAUGUUGCUGGCCAACCCUACAAAGGACAAGGUGCGUCUGCGCUACAAGCUGUCUUUCACACUAGGAGAGCGGCUGUGUAAUGAGGUUGGAGAGGUCAACCAGUUUCCUCCACCAGAAACAUGGGGUCAUCUAUAGAAGUGUGCAGGCCUGCUGCCACUUAGCAGGGACAGGCUGCUUUGUACUCCAUGAAGGGGUGUGUGCACAUUUACAUUUACCCCAGAGAGAAAGAAGGGGUAGGUGAGGAAAUUCACCUGCACUCUGCCUUGCAGCUUCACAUUCCAUGCAGUUGUUAAUUUGGGCAUUGAGACGCUAACAGCAGACACAAAAGUUGUAUUUACAUAUAGCUUCAAUACCUUUCUGCAAAUAACUGGUAAGUAAGACAGCUGUGGUGUUUACAAGUCGAGGAAACUAACAUAGUAUUUUAAUGGAUCUUCCCCAAGAUGAAUAAAACAGAGUUGAAUGUACUAUAAAUAACCAAUGCAUAAGAGCUCAGACCUGAAUGAUAAGAUGGAUUGCAGCAUAACAAACUGACUUUUGUAAGAACAGAGCCUGAGAUACAACCAUUACAGAUACAAAAGCUUUUAUUUAUUCCUCUGGAUGAGCACUUCCUUAGCCCACAAAAAAUAUACUUGAAUAUAUCCGGGAAUUUGAAAGUGGCAUGUAGUAGAUGUCUUCACAAGGCGGUAAAACUAAAACAUUUUUCUAAGUAAAAAGGACUGUACUGAUUAUUUCCAUCAUCAAGAUUUUUGACAUGAUUAUUUAUUAUACAAGGUAUUGUAGCUCUGUUUUAGUGGACCAACAAUAUUUAAUUUCGUGCUGUAAAGGCAACCAACUGCACCUACAAUGGUUGAUUCUUUAAUUACAAAUAUAGCAUUAUGAUGUAAGUCUGAGUCCAGUGAGUUUUAUUUUAGUUGAAUUUCUUUUUUUUAAAAUAAAAGGCAAUUGUCUGCAUUCCAGUCAUGAUUUUAGCAGUGGGUAUCCAUUUUGUUUAUUUUGAAUUUAAAAGAUUUUAACUCUUCUAACAGUGUCAGUAUUGAGAGUAUUUUUGUCAUAUUUAUUAAUUUCUGUUUUGUUAAUAGUAUUUCAGUGCAUCACUGAACCUGGGAAAUGUGAACUGAAA